GUGGGGAAUAUUGGACAAUGGGGGAAACCCUGAUCCAACCAUGCCGCGUGUGUGAAGAAGGCCUUCGGGUUGUAAAGCACUUUAAGCAGGGAGGAAAGGGUACUGGCUAAUAUCCAGUAUCAUUGACGUUACCUGCAGAAUAAGCACCGGCUAACUUCGUGCCAGCAGCCGCGGUAAUACGAAGGGUGCAAGCGUUAAUCGGAAUUACUGGGCGUAAAGCGCGCGUAGGCGGUUUGAUAAGUGGGAUGUGAAAGCCCCGGGCUCAACCUGGGAAGUGCAUCCAAGACUGUCAGGCUAGAGUACGGGAGAGGGGGGUAGAAUUCCACGUGUAGCGGUGAAAUGCGUAGAGAUGUGGAGGAAUACCGGUGGCGAAGGCGGCCCCCUGGAUCGAUACUGACGCUGAGGUGCGAAAGCGUGGGGAGCAAACAGGAUUAGAAACCCGUGUAGUCC
rnacentral:rRNA from 1 species